GAAGUUUCUUCAUACAUCAGGCAGUGUGAGCUAUGCUUCUGCUGCACAUAAACUGGGUCAGCAACUUGGGCGUCCUCCUCGAAGAGAUGAAGUCUAUAUAAAAACACAUACAUGAAAAAAUGGAGAGCCUUUAAGGCCAGCAACAUCAGUAAUUGAUUCCCUAAAAGAAGUUGUUGAAAUCUAUCCGGAGUUGAAGGACAAGGCAAUUCAGCAAGGUGAUGCUUUUGCUGUUGUUUGUGGAGAAAAGGAGCCAAGGGGUAGAGUCCGUUGUUUGGGUAUAGGACAAACUCCUCAAGACAUUGGUGCCCUAGGUCUGAAGGCAUACUCAUCGACAAGGCUUCAAAUACAAGUUUUGGCACGCCAAAAGGCUGAAAGUGACAAUCUAGUGCUGCGACAAAGUAUCUUGGAAAUGAAACAAAGGGAGGAGCAAAUGAUGGCACGAGAAUUUUUAAAUGUCGAAACAAACUCACAACAUGGUUCUAACUCAAGAUAACACAUGAGCCCAAGAUCUGAACUUGGUGAGGGUAAUGAACAUGUUCAUGGUGAAGAAGAUGAUGACUAUGUGGAGAAUGAAAAUUGUAAUGAGGAACCUGAUGGUGACGCCAAUCAACAUGUUGUAGCCCCUACAACCUCGCCUGCCAUGAACAUUACAACAUCAACAAGGAAUGAUGUCCAUCACUUUUCACAUGAUGCACUUGCUGAAAAUGAGGUAAUCUUAUUUGCCUCGUCGGGUAAUGAAAAAGUGGCUAAGGCAACUGUUGCUUCAGUUAAUCCAAACAAUAAGCUAGCGGGUGAAGCUCUUGGAACAAAAUAUUGUGAAGUUAUUGUGAAUGUUGUCCUUCGACGUGAAACAUUAGUGCCACGCCCUUAUGCUAAAAUCAAGACUCUAGGUGAUG